rnacentral:rRNA from 1 species
AGCGAACGCUGGCGGCAGGCUUAACACAUGCAAGUCGAGCGGGCACUUUCGGGUGUCAGCGGCGGACGGGUGAGUAACGCGUGGGAACGUGCCCUCUGGUUCGGAAUAACUCAGGGAAACUUGAGCUAAUACCGGAUACGCCCUUUUGGGGAAAGGCUUGCUGCCGGAGGAUCGGCCCGCGUCUGAUUAGCUAGUUGGUGAGGUAACGGCUCACCAAGGCGACGAUCAGUAGCUGGUCUGAGAGGAUGAUCAGCCACACUGGGACUGAGACACGGCCCAGACUCCUACGGGAGGAAGCAGUGGGGAAUAUUGGACAAUGGGCGCAAGCCUGAUCCAGCCAUGCCGCGUGAGUGAUGAAGGCCUUAGGGUUGUAAAGCUCUUUUAUCCGGGACGAUAAUGACGGUACCGGAGGAAUAAGCCCUGGCUAACUUCGUG